rnacentral:rRNA from 1 species
UACAGAGGGUGCGAGCGUUAAUCGGAAUUACUGGGCGUAAAGCGCACGUAGGUGGCUUAGUAAGUCGGAUGUGAAAUCCCCAGGCUUAACCUGGGAACUGCAUUCGAAACUGCUUUGCUAGAGUAUGGGAGAGGGCAGUGGAAUUUCAGGUGUAGCGGUGAAAUGCGUAGAUAUCUGAAGGAACACCAGUGGCGAAGGCGACCACCUGGACUGAUACUGACACUGAGGUGCGAAAGCGUGGGGAGCAAACAGG